rnacentral:misc_RNA from 1 species
UACGGAGGGUGCAAGCGUUGUUCGGAAUUAUUGGGCGUAAAGCGCGUGUAGGCGGGCUGUUAAGUCCGAUGUGAAAGCCCCCGGCUCAACCGGGGAAUUGCAUUGGAUACUGGCAACCUUGAGUCCUGGAGAGGGUGGCGGAAUUCCCAGUGUAGAGGUGAAAUUCGUAGAUAUUGGGAGGAACACCGGUGGCGAAGGCGGCCACCUGGACAGUGACUGACGCUGAGACGCGAAAGCGUGGGUAGCAAACAGG